rnacentral:lncRNA from 1 species
UUUGCAGAUAAAGAAACUGAGGCCAAAGUACACAACUAAUUUGCCAGCGUAACAGCUGGAGACUUAAAUGACACCAAGCAAAGCCUACUUAGUUUAGAUCUCCAGAAAUUGGCUGGUGGAAAAAAAUCAAACAUGAAGAUUGCAGUUUUGUUUUGUUUUUUUCUGCUUAUCAUUUUUCAAACUGACUUUGGAAAAAAUGAAGAAAUUCCUAGGAAGCAAAGGAGGAAGAUCUACCACAGAAGGUUGAGGAAAAGUUCAACCUCACACAAGCACAGAUCAAACAGACAGCUUGGAAUUCAGCAAACAACAGUUUUUACACCAGUAGCAAGACUUCCUAUUGUUAACUUUGAUUAUAGCAUGGAGGAAAAGUUUGAAUCCUUUUCAAGUUUUCCUGGAGUAGAAUCAAGUUAUAAUGUGUUACCAGGAAAGAAGGGACACUGUUUGGUAAAGGGCAUAACCAUGUACAACAAAGCUGUGUGGUCGCCUGAGCCCUGCACUACCUGCCUCUGCUCAGAUGGAAGAGUUCUUUGUGAUGAAACCAUGUGCCAUCCCCAGAGGUGCCCCCAAACAGUUAUACCUGAAGGGGAAUGCUGCCCGGUCUGCUCCGCUACU